rnacentral:lncRNA from 12 species
AGCCCUUCCUCCAGAAGCCUGUCCCCUGAGUCAAGACCGGCGGCCCCGCUAGUUGCCUUUAACUGGCCGACAGGUGCCCCACUUUGCAGUCUGUUACGAGAAGAGGUCUCCCAGGAACGACAAGACAAGAGUCCGCCUUACUCACCCUUCACUGGGCGUGAUCGCAGGUUUCCACACCGGAUGAUACGGGACAGCGUGGUUCCUGCUCCUGGGGCCUCGCGAGCACCAGACAGCGAGUGAAGCGAGAGAAGCGUAUUGAGUGAAGAAGUGAGAGGGGUCCCGACAGGACUGCCACCGAGGGCUUUCGGGCUGGCCUUUCAUUGAGAACCUAACCAGGGAGCCCGCAGCCUGGAGAUUUCCUUGUGCUGUCUCAGGGGAUUGGCAUUCGGCCGUUUUGGGGUCUGAUUUCAGACAUGCAAACAAUGAAGGUCAACCAGACAGUCCUGAAGGAAUUCAUUCUUGUUGGCUUUUCCGUGUACCCCCAUGUGCAGGCUUUCCUCUUCGUGGUCUUCCUUUGCCUCUAUCUUCUCACCCUCACAGCUUCCCGCAUCAACUUGACCUCUGCUUGGACACUGCCAGGGAUGGGGACAUCACCACCUAGCACGGGAGGUACCUGGCCUGUCUGUGGCAGCUCCAGCAGGCUGAGAGGCCCAGGAGCUCCCGGGCCUGCAAGGCAGGCAGGAACCCAGAGCCGUGCGACGAGGAAAACCCCUCAUUUUCAGAAGAAGACUCCAAUCUGAGCCAGGAAUCUGGAGUCUGAAAUGACCCCCCUGCCCACCCUCAGUCCCCGGCCUCCCCUGCGCCCCCUCCUAGCCCAGGGCUAUUCACAAAGGGACGUGAAAAGGGGUGAGCAGGGAAAGACGCCUCCCCUGUUGGAUCCCCCUGAUGUAUGGACAGGAGAGGAAGCACCUCUUCUCACCCGGAAGCAGACAAAUAAUACAGACGGUCCAGGGACCUUAAACUUGAAUCAUCAUUAUGUCUGUGGACGUAGACACGGAUGGGAAGACUCGGGCGGUGGAGUCGACGACAUCAGUUUGCUUCCCUCCAGGGCCGUGUCCCCCCAGGCUUGGCCUUUCCAUUGUACCGAGCAUGGCCCGUGUGGCUUGGCCCAGCCUUGUGGGGGGAGGUGGGUCACCAUGACAAUGUGUCCUGAGGGGCCCUGUCCCUGAGGAUGAAGGCAUAAGAGCCGGCUACUGCUGCCCCUGUCUGCUUCACGGCUCACCUGCCGCACCUCUGUGCCGUCACGCCAUGAACGGACGACUCAGCUUGAAAAAUCAUGAAGAAUCAGCUUUCUUGAAGAGCCGCUGGGUCUGACUGCACCUGCCCAGAAGGAGAGGAAAGCAGCCCGGGGACAAAGCCCAAAGGCAGGGCGCGUGGGUGGUGGGCGCAGAGGUG